AUCUCUAAUCUGGAAUUUUCAACAAUGGGGCUGGUGGGUCAGGGUGCACCAGAUCUCAGGAGGUUUAUCCAGAAGACUUUCAAGUGCCCCAAGAGGCUGAGUGGUCCGCCAAGUGCCUGCAUGUGUGCAGUCAGGAAGCUUGAGUCUGGGUUCUGCCUGGGGCAAGUCACUACAACUCCCAGAGCCUCAUUUCUGCUAUUCGUAAAAUGGAGAAGACACCUCCUAUGAUAUCAAGUCACUGACUUGUUCCCAGGCAAAGACUUCCAUGCUAAUUUAAUUUAUAGAAGACGCAAAGCCCCCAAUCUGUUCUACAAAGCAAAACAAAAGACAACACAGAAAGCAAACAACCAGCUUCACUUCUGAAUAUAGACAAAGACAUUCUCAAUAAAACAUUAGCAAAUAUAAUGCAACCUUAUUUCCCGUAAUGCAGUGGGGUGGAUGCCAGGAAUGAUAGGAGUAUUCAAAUUCAGCAAAUACAUUCAUAGAGCUCAUAAGAAGGACCUUAGUGGUGUUGAGGGCUGUUGGGACUACAAAGUGGGAGCCCUUACAAGGUCUUGAGCACAGUAAGGUGAUGUGAUAUGUGGUUAAGUGGACUACUUUGGCUGCUGUGUGAAGAAGUGAUUUAAGGGAGGCAAGAAACUGGGAGUGAGUUAAGAGGUGUGGUGAGCAGAGUAACGGCCCACAAAGAUGUCCACAUCCAAAUCCUCAGAACCUGUGAAUAUGUUAUUUUACAUGAGAAGGGGCAAUUAAAGUUACAGAUGGAACUAUGGUUGCUAAUCAGCUGACCGUGAGGUGGGGAGACAAUCUUGGAUUAUCCAGGUGCAUAAGGAAAUCACAACGGUCCUUAUAAGUGAGAGGAAGGCAGGAGAGAGGGAGGCAGAGUGAUGCAGUGUGGGAAAGACUCGCCCAGCCAUUGUUGGCUUUGAGAUGGAAGGGACCACGAGCCAUACAAUGCAAGGCAUCCAUAGAAGCUCAGUAAGGCAAGAAGAUGACUUCUGCCCGGAGUUUCCAGAUGGAAAGCAGUCCUGCUGACACCUUGAUUUUAGCCCAGUGAGAUCCACUUCAGACUUCUGACCUCCAGAACUGUGAGAACAUAAAUCUGUGUUGCUUUAAGUUGCUCAGUUUGAGGAGUUUGUUGCAGUGGAAAUAGGCUACUAACACAGGUUGGCUACUGCAAUAACCCAAGUGGGAGUUGGCAGCGGCUUGGAUGGGAGUGGUGGCAGAGAAAGUGCCAGGAAGUGGUUGGAUUUUGGACAUGAUCUGAAGUGAAGUCAAUGAGAUUUACCGACAAACAAGGUAUUUGAUUGGGUUUGAAAGAACGGGAAGUCAAUGUGAGUCUCAGUGGAGAGGAGACUUUGAGUUUCCGUAAAGAGGCAGUAGAAUUUGAAAAAGUGCCCCUAAGAGACUGAGCACUUUCUUUUUCCCCCUUCCAGCCCCACCCCUCAUCAUACCCAAAGACCAGUGAUCCGGACUAAAACCAUGCCCAGUGGGUUUUGUGGGCUAUUUUUCUAGACCUACCCCCAAAGGUUGGCCUUUAAGAUAUUGUCACUUCGAUGAAAAGAAUGAUCAAGAAACAAAUUAUUGAAUUAUGCGAUUUACAGCAUCGUUCCUAUCCUCCUGACUGUGAAAGAAAGAGAAUCCUUGAACCUCCCUCCUCCCUUUCUUUCCAAGGGAAACUUUGAAUUUGUUAGCUCAAUGCCUGGGCAGGAACAUCUACUGAGAGAGGCCAGAACAUUUCCAUCAAAGAGGAGGCAAAUAUCUAGUGAGAGAAAAAAGUAGUUCCAAGACUGGGGGCUGGGGCACCAAAAGAAGUUGAGAGCCACCUGCAUGGUUUACUGGAGAAGUGUUGGCAGCAAGCUGGAAAUGAAACGGAGAGAGACUCUUUGAUCCACAAGGUCUGUGAGCAAGAUUGAAAGGAAAGAAAGGAAAAGAGGGUUUUAAGCCACGUUGUCAUGGAUUGGAACUGUAUCUUCUGUGAUAUUCUUUGAGAACAUCGGUAAACAUUGGAAUUGCUUGUGCUAAAAAAUGAAAUUACAUUGCUUAGCCUUGAAACUGUGCAACCUUUCAACUGCUGAUGAAAACAACCUCAGCAAGAUGAAAAUUUCUCCAUUUUCCUGAAACUAUUCUGCAUCAUAAAAUUCAUUGCAGGUGGUACCUUUAAAAAUAAAAGACUUGUAAAAAAUGUCCUUUCUGCACCUGGAUAUCCUCA
rnacentral:lncRNA from 1 species